rnacentral:rRNA from 1 species
UGGGGAAUUUUGGACAAUGGGGGCAACCCUGAUCCAGCCAUGCCGCGUGCGGGAAGAAGGCCUUCGGGUUGUAAACCGCUUUCGGCCGGGACGAAAUCGCAUCGAUGAAUAGUCGGUGUGGAUGACGGUACCGGAAGAAGAAGCACCGGCUAACUACGUGCCAGCAGCCGCGGUAAUACGUAGGGUGCGAGCGUUAAUCGGAAUUACUGGGCGUAAAGCGUGCGCAGGUGGCUGCGUAAGCUAGAGGUGAAAUCCCCGGGCUUAACCUGGGAACUGCCUUUAGGACUGCGUAGCUGGAGUGCGGCAGAGGGAGCUGGAAUUCCACGUGUAGCAGUGAAAUGCGUAGAUAUGUGGAGGAACACCGAUGGCGAAGGCAGGCUCCUGGGCUAGCACUGACACUCAGGCACGAAAGCGUGGGGAGCAAACAGGAUUAGAUACCCGCGUAGUCC